UACGUAGGUGGCAAGUGUUGUCCGGAUUUAUUGGGUUUAAAGGGUGCGUAGGCGGCCCUGUAAGUCAGUGGUGAAAUACUCUAGCUUAACUAGAGGGGUGCCAAUGAUACUGCAGGGCUUGAGUACAGAUGAGGUAGGCGGAAUUGACGGUGUAGAGGUGAAAUUCGUAGAUAUUGGGAAGAACACCGGUGGCGAAGGCGGCGACCUGGUCCGAUACUGACGCUGAGGCGCGAAAGCGUGGGGAGCAAACAGG
rnacentral:rRNA from 1 species